rnacentral:rRNA from 1 species
AGUGAACGCUGGCGGUAGGCCUAACACAUGCAAGUCGAACGGCAGCACAGUAAGAGCUUGCUCUUACGGGUGGCGAGUGGCGGACGGGUGAGGAAUACAUCGGAAUCUACUUUUUCGUGGGGGAUAACGUAGGGAAACUUACGCUAAUACCGCAUACGACCUACGGGUGAAAGCAGGGGAUCUUCGGACCUUGCGCGAUUGAAUGAGCCGAUGUCGGAUUAGCUAGUUGGCGGGGUAAAGGCCCACCAAGGCGACGAUCCGUAGCUGGUCUGAGAGGAUGAUCAGCCACACUGGAACUGAGACACGGUCCAGACUCCUACGGGAGGCAGCAGUGGGGAAUAUUGGACAAUGGGCGAAAGCCUGAUCCAGCCAUACCGCGUGGGUGAAGAAGGCCUUCGGGUUGUAAAGCCCUUUUGUUGGGAAAGAAAAGCAGCAGGUUAAUACCCCGCUGUCCUGACGGUACCCACAGAAUAAGCACCGGCUAACUUCGUG